rnacentral:rRNA from 1 species
CACGUAGGGCGCGAGCGUUGUCCGGAAUUAUUGGGCGUAAAGAGCUCGUAGGCGGCCUGUUGCGUCCGCUGUCGAAAGCCCGGGGCUUAACCCCGGGUCGGCAGUGGAUACGGGCAGGCUAGAGGUAGGUAGGGGAGAAUGGAAUUCCUGGUGUAGCGGUGAAAUGCGCAGAUAUCAGGAGGAACACCGAUGGCGAAGGCAGGUCUCUGGGCCGAUACUGACGCUGAGGAGCGAAAGCGUGGGGAGCGAACAGG